GGGGAGGGGGGGGGGGGCGUUGCAGUGUUCAGUAUAUAAGGCGUUGGCGACGACGGUCAAGCAUCACUCGACGACACCCAAUCACCAAGGCGACAUGUACAAGGCAGUGUUUGCAGUACUGAGUGUGCUCCUGCUGGUGGCCGCCGCCCUGGCCAGCCCCAUGCCGGAGCCCGGACACCGCGGUGGCGGCUACGGCGGCUAUGGUGGCGGACAUGGAGGUGGUUAUGGCGGCUACGGUGGGCAUGGCGGUGGCGGCCAUGGAGGUGGUUAUGGUGGCUACGGCGGCUACCAUGGCUAGGGACGCUGAAGGAGGAGCCUACAGUCCCUUCAAGAAGAGUUACCCAAAGAGUUGGCAAAGCUCGUCCUCGUCCUGUCCCGUUGUUGUUGUGUGUCACGAGGACGAGCAAUGUUUCGGCCGAGAACACCUCCAAUAAAGGUUUUCUUUCUUA